UCGAGAAUCUUUCGCAAUGGGGGAAACCCUGACGAAGCGACGCCGCGUGCGGGAAGAAGGCCUUCGGGUUGUAAACCGCUUUGAGCAGGGGCGAACGCCUUGAUGUGAACAGCAUCGGAGGCAUGACGGUACCUGCAGAACAAGCCACGGCUAACUCUGUGCCAGCAGCCGCGGUAAGACAGAGGUGGCAAGCGUUGUUCGGAUUUACUGGGCGUAAAGGGGGUCUAGGUGGUUCGGUAUGUCUUCCGUGAAAUCCCGGAGCUUAACUCCGGAACUGCGGGGGAAACUGCCGAACUUGAGCGCAUGAUACGUAAACGGAAUACUGGGUGUAGCGGUGAAAUGCGUAGAUAUCCAGUAGAACACCUGCGGCGAAAGCGGUUUACGAGCGUGUUGCUGACACUGAAGCCCGAAAGUGUGGGGAUCAAACA
rnacentral:rRNA from 1 species